ensembl:lncRNA
GCAGCCAUCGUUGUUCUCAUAGAUAUGAAUGAGUAGAUAGGACACGCCCCUUUGAGCUGCGUGCUACGGCGAGGCUAAGCUAGUGGGGGAAAAGUUUCAGUGCAUUCUGUUGAUGUAGACGGCGUGAAAACGGAAACAACAAGUAUGCCGGCUCACUGUGCUGCAUACAACUACACACUACGUCGUACGAUUGAGACAAGGAAACUUGGAAUGACUUUUCAUAGGUUUCCCAGAGACUAUGGGUUGAGGAGGAAUUGGAAGUUUGUCGGCUUAGACCUGGUGUCAUUCCAUCAGUGAUAAACUUCCCGGCUCAUCUUGGAAGAGUACGUGCCAGAAAGACCACGACCAAGCAGCCUUGAGAUCUUAGACAGCGUCUCCCUGAGGUCCCUCUCUAUCUCCCCACACAUCCACCAACCACUGGAACACAUCUCCAAAGUUCUGCCGGGCCAGCUCAGCUUCCCCUCAGAAGAAGUGCCGCCACCUGCCAGAUGAAGGAGCCUUUUGAGAGGCAGCUGACAUCGUGAUUGGACUGUACUUUGGUCUGUUCCAAUCCAGCUUCAGCUCCAGAGACGGCAGGCGGGACGAGUCAACGGAGGCCUGGUGGACGAAGACCAAAGAACUACAGACUCUUCACAACCUGCUC